rnacentral:rRNA from 1 species
UACGAAGGGGGCUAGCGUUGUUCGGAAUUACUGGGCGUAAAGCGUACGUAGGCGGAUUGUUAAGUGAGGGGUGAAAUCCCGAGGCUCAACCUCGGAACUGCCUUUCAUACUGGCAAUCUUGAGUCCGGGAGAGGUGAGUGGAACUCCUAGUGUAGAGGUGAAAUUCGUAGAUAUUAGGAAGAACACCAGUGGCGAAGGCGGCUCACUGGCCCGGAACUGACGCUGAGGUACGAAAGCGUGGGGAGCAAACCGG